rnacentral:misc_RNA from 1 species
UUUUUUUUUUUAAAUUAUUUAACCAUUCCGGACGAUGACAUUUAUACAGAUUAAGACAUUUUUUCUUUGUUAGUGCGUUUGUUCUAAUUAUGUCCCCUUUCAUGUUUUUUUUGGAAUUUUUUUUCUCUCUCUCUCUCAGAAGAAAUAUCAAAAUGUUAAUUUUUUCAUCACGAAAGAACAAGCGUGAAAUAUUAACAUUCCAGUCAAGAAGUUUAAAUGUUGUAAAUUUUACGGUACCAAUUAAAAAAAACACACUAUAGUAUGCUGCACGUAUAUAUGGUUGUCUCAUUUAUAAUUAGUAAUGGUCAGGAAGUGCCUUUAUUAUAACAUUUUUGUUUAUAUAUUUGAAGAACAAAAAACGAAUUAGUUGCUGGACAAUAUAUGUUUAAAGAUUUAUUUUGACGUAGACUUUGUUCAAAUGAAGGGAUUACUUUAACUGUAUAUUUGUUGUUGUAUGAUAUGACACUUUGGGCAGUCAUGUGAUGUGAUCCAAAGGUCAUAGGUCAAGAUUUGUUCUGUGAAGAAAAUGGAAUAAAAAUGAA